ensembl:lncRNA
UAUUUUUAUUUUUUUGUCAUUCUGAUUUGUGCUUUUGUCAGUUUUUGCUAUUUAUAAAUAUUAUUAUUUGGGUUUAAUUUUUGUAUUUUUUAUUUCAGUUUUAGCUUAUAAUUUUAGUGCUUCUACUUAAACUUUUUUCAGUUCAUUUCCAAGUCAACAUUUCCAAUUUAUUUUUUAUUUAUUUUUUAUUUCAGUUGACAAAGCUGUUUUUAAUCAUUAUUAGGUUUAGUUAAUGAACCCUGCCUCUUGUUAUCUACCAGACUUCUAUAGAGACACUUUGACCUCACAAUCAGUUGUUAUUGCAUGAAUCCAGUGCGAGCUACAUCUGUGUCCUCUGGUUUGAUUGAUGCAGUGUGACUGUGUGUGUGUUCCAGCAGGAGGCGCUGUAUUCCUGUAACACACUGCGAGAGGAUCGUCCAGCAGGACCACAGGUGCACCUCAGGUCUUUCCAGCUGUGAUGCGGCGGUGACUGCAGUGAUGUUUGUGUGUAUUUGGUUGAUAAAAGCAGCGUUUUGUGAUGGUUUGGUGACCUCACCCUCUGCAGACAAACACUGCGGCCGUCAAACGGACGUCUGAUCGAUGCACGGGAGAAAAGAGAGAAACAUGAUGAUGAGUGGAUCUCACGAAAACACGUCCAAGACACAGCUCACCCUGAAAUCAAAAAGAAAAAAGAACUGAAUAAGAACUUACAGUUUGUAUGAAGAACAUUCUGCCUAUUUUUAGGAAGAUU